rnacentral:rRNA from 1 species
GAGUUUGAUCAUGGCUCAGAUUGAACGCUGGCGGCAUGCCUUACACGUGCAAGUCGAACGGCAGCAUGACGUGUAGCAAUACACGUUGAUGGCGAGUGGCGAACGGGUGAGUAAUAUAUCGGAACGUGCCCUGUAGCGGGGGAUAACCUAUCGAAAGAUGGACUAAUACCGCAUACGCUCUACGGAGGAAAGCGGGGGUCGCAAGACCUCGCACUAUAGGAGCGGCCAAUAUCGGAUUAGCUAGUUGGCGGGGUAAAAGCCCACCAAGGCGACGAUCCGUAGCUGGUCUGAGAGGAUGAUCAGCCACACUGGAACUGAGACACGGUCCAGACUCCUACGGGAGGCAGCAGUGGGGAAUUUUGGACAAUGGGCGCAAGCCUGAUCCAGCCAUGCCGCGUGAGUGAAGAAGGCCUUCGGGUUGUAAAGCUCUUUCGGCAGGAACGAAAUGGUUCGUGCUAAUACCACGGACUGACGACGGUACCUGAAGAAGAAGCACCGGCUAACUACGUGCCAGCAGCCGCGGUAAUACGUAGGGUGCAGGCGUUAAUCGGAAUUACUGGGCGUAAAGCGUGCGCAGGCGGUUUCUUAAGUCAGAUGUGAAAGCCCCGGGCUUAACCUGGGAACUGCGUUUGAAACUGGGAGACUUGAGUGUGGCAGAGGGGGGUGGAAUUC